rnacentral:lncRNA from 1 species
UUUUCAUUAUCCGCCAUUCUAUUUUAGCCAAUGGGGGAGCAGGGUAAGUUCAUUUCCCUUCCCAUUCAUAUUUCAUUCAGCGGGAGCGGGGGAGUCUGGGAGGGAGCAUCUGAGAAGGGAAGAAAAACUGCUUAGUUGUAGGGAAGAGGAUGUGAUCCCUAUGCAGAACAGAGGCAGCCUUCAGAAAGGGCAACAGAGAUGUGUGACACUGAGAAUCCGAAGUCCCCUGAGCUGGCAGGAUUGGAUGAGGAUGUGCUGAUGCCCUCUGGAUGGAGCCACUUCAAUCUCGGAAGCCAAAGAAGUCAGAGCCUGAGGAGCUUUCCAGCUCCCUGGCUGAGUCGCCUGGGCUUCCUGACGAGGAUAGUCUUCUUUGCCCUUUCCUUCAUCCUCAGCAUCAUUAUCUUAUCCCAAGGUAAGGCCCAGGCCCAGGGCUAGGAAUGGGCUGGGGGAAGGAGACGUUCCAUCUCUGGUCUCUCUCAUGGGAAUCAGGAGAUGGGGAAGAGGGAGAUGGUUUGAUAUAAUGAAAGGAGCAUUGAAACUGGAGUAAGAGAAUCCAAGUUCUAGCUUUGCUACUGCUGUGUAUUAGCUGUGUGACCUGGAGCUAGUCUCUUCCAUUCUCUGGCCUCAGUUUCCCUAUUUUUAAAAUGAAGUGGUUGGAUUACAGGAUCUUGAAGGUGGCUUUAUAGCCUAUACUAAUUUAGGAAUCUGGGCUGCUGGGAAUCUGGGGGCUACUCUGCAAGAGUGGAAGCAGGGUUGGGUCCCUGAAGUCAGACUGAAUUGGGGGCCAGGCCUGAGCCCUAUGUCCUGGGUGAGAUUGCCAUGCUAUUAGAGAGGGCAACAUCAAAGAGAGAUCAUGGGUUAGGUGCCAAACCUACCAUUGAUUCCAGAGAAAGGGAAGCUUGUUUGGAAUCAGGCUGUCUUCUUCCCUCCCUCCUUCCCCAACUCCCCAGCCCUUCAUUGGAUGGGUGCAACUGCUAUGGGCCCAGACUCAUUGCUUUGCCUUCCAGUCUUCCAGAAUCAAAGUCAGCAUAAUUUGGAGCAUGAAGCAAUCCAGAAGAAACUGAACCA